UGCCCUCACCUUGCUAGCAUGUCCAUUCCUUCACUGGCAUGAGAGCCAGCACCUACAUACUUGAGAUUCCAGCAUCUACUGAAGAUCAGCUGAGACACCCAGCUUUGCGGACUGAACAACUACUGGAUUCUUGGACUUUUCAUUCACGGCCAGCCAUUGUUUGAUUAGCUGGAUUGCAGCCUUGUCUCACUAUGAAACAGAGGCUGGUCUCAAAUGCCUGUGCCUUCUGGCUUUGCCUUCCACUGGGGAUGGAACUUGAGGCUUCACACAUGCAAGCGUGUCUUGUCGUUCAAGAGGCCUACUGGCAAUAAUGCCACCUCCUACUUCCUCUACACGGACCCUCAAUCCUGCCUGCCUGUUUCGGUGACUGUCUUGCUUCGCUGACUGCAGCAGUACCCACCUCAGUACCAGCCAGACUUUCUUCCCUCUUCAAAUCCACAUCAGAGCAGCUUCAAGUCGAAGAUCCAGGAUAAGAACCAGCAUCACCGCCCAGGCCCUUCUCCUUGUAACUGUUGUUGAGCAGUUUCUGUGGGUUUGGGGUCCCCCCUCCCCCACCGUGCUAAGUCCACCUUCCUGGUCUGUGUGGAAUGCGAUACAUCCUGUGGGUUUCUUCCGUGGUACAGCGAUUUUCCUCAGAAAAAGCCUGUCUUCAUCUUUUAAACCUCAACGAAUCUGUGUCCUUGAGCGUCACCCUAGAAUAUGAUGGAUCCAGUACUACUAUUUUUGACCAGCCCGUGGACGAGGGGAACUUCUACGCUUGUGCAGAUUUCAAAGUGUCUCAGAUGUCCUCAGAGCAGUUGGCCUUUGUGGCAUUACUUGUUCAGGGAAACACUCUUAAAAUCUCUGAGAGAAGAUCUGUGGCCAUCGCUGCUGAGGAGAACGCCACUUUUGUGCAGACAGACACACCGGUCCAUAAACCUGGAGACACAGUUCACUUUCGCGUUGUGACACUGAACAUCUGGCUGAAGCCUGUUGAUGACUUGUAUCCCUUGAUCACCGUUCAGGAUCCCCAAAGCAAUGUGAUUUUUCAGUGGAUCAAUGUGACCACUUUCAGAAACAUUACCCAGCUCUCCUUCCAACUGACGCCGGAACCAAUAUUGGGGGAUUACACAAUCGUCAUAAAAACACAAUCGGGAACGACAGUGAUGGAUCAUUUCACUGUUAACCGAGACGUUUUGCCCAAAUUUGAAGUCGAGCUCACUGCACCAGAGACAAUAACCAUUGCGGACAGUCAAUUUCAAAUGGUUACAUGUGCAAAGUACACCUAUGGCCAGCCUGUGCAGGGAAAAGCCCAGAUAAAAGUGUGCAGAGAGCUCUUCUCCCCGGCACAUUGUGAGAGCAAUGAGAAUGAAAUCUGUGAGCAGUUCACUGUGCAGCUGAAAGAUGGCUGUGCUUCUCACAUUAUCAACACAAAAGUCUUCCAGUUGGACCGCUCUGGAUUGUUCAUGACCUUGAAUGUUAACGAAGUGGUUACAGAAUCUGGAACAGGUGUGCAGAUGAGUAAAACACACUCGGUUUUUAUCACUUCCGUGCUUGGCACUGUCAGCUUCGAGAACAUGGACCCUUUCUACAGGAGAGGGAUCACUUAUUUUGGAACUCUUAAAUUUUCUGGUCCCAAUAACACACCACUGGUGGACAAACUUUUGCAACUGGAACUCGACGGCAAACCUGUAGGAAAUUACACCACAGAUGAGAACGGGGAAGCUCGAUUUUCCAUUAACACUUCAGAGAUAUUCGGUGCACAGAUUAGCUUGAAGGCCGUCUACGUCCGACCUAGAAGCUGCCAUCGUUCCAGCUGGCUGUCCCCUGAGUAUUUGGACGCUUACUUCUCGGCCUCGCGCUUUUACUCCCAGACCAGCAGCUUCACGAAGAUCAUUCUCGAGCCCAAGCAGCUUCCGUGCGAUCAAGAGAAGAUGUUCUCAGUACUUUACUCCCUAAACCCCGAGGCCUACAAGGAGGCCUCAGAUGUGACCUUCUUCUAUUUGGUGAUGGUGAGAGGAGGUAUCUCCCGCAGCGGACAGAAGCAAGUCAGAGUUCAAGCCUGGAAUGGGAACUUCUCUUUCCCAAUCAGCAUCAAUGCUGAUCUGGCGCCAUCGGCUGACCUGUUCGUCUACACCCUCCACCCUAGCGGGGAAAUCGUUGCGGAUAAUGUCAGGCUCCAGAUCGAGAAGUGCUUUAAAAACAAGGUUAGCAUAAACUUCUCACGGGAUAAGGAUCUACCGGGCUCUAACACCAGUGUUCAUCUUCAAGCGGCCCCUGACUCCUUCUGUGCCCUGCGAGCAGUGGACAAAAGUGCCCUUCUACUGAACCACGGACAAGAAAUGACACCUGAGAGCGUGUACUUCACACUCCCGUAUAUCCAUCAAUAUGGCUAUUUCUACAAUGGCCUCAACUUGGAUGAUCAGCAAGCAGAACCAUGCAUUCCUCAGAAGGACUUAUUCUACAAUGGACUGUAUUAUACACCUACAGGCAAUAUUUGGGAUGGAGACCUCUCUAAUCUUCUCAGUAACAUGGGUCUGAAAAUCUUUACAAAUCUCCAUUACCGGAAACCGGAAGUGUGUUCAUCCCAGGAAAACCAGCCCUUGCUGAGGACGUUCGAUCACCCAAAUGAACGGAUAAUGAUGUACGGUGGUGGCGCCCCACCUUCUUCUGCCUUUCAUGACUCUGUGGACAGCAUCAGCCAUGCAAAAGUGGCCAUCAAAGAGACAGUGAGGACAAACUUCCCCAGGACAUGGAUAUGGAACCUUGUCAGUGUAGAUUCCUCAGGCACAGCAAAUGUCUCGUUCCUGGUCCCUGAUACCAUCACCCAGUGGGAGGCCAGCGCCUUCUGUGUCAAUGGCAAUGCUGGGUUUGGCAUUUCACCCAAAGUGUCCCUACAGAUCUCCCAGCCCUUCUUCGUGGAAGUUACCUCACCCUUUUCCGUUGUUCGAAGUGAACAGAGUGACAUGGUUGUCACUGUCUUCAACUACCUGACUACAUGUGUAGAGAUUUCUGUUCAGUUAGAAGCAUCUGAGAAUUAUGAAGCAAGCAUCAACACCCAGCGUAACACCGACAGUGAAGUCCUCCAGGCUGGAGAACAGAAAACAUAUGUCUGGACCAUUAUUCCUAAGACACUGGGUAAAGUAAAUGUCACUGUAGUGGCUACAUCCAAACAGAGCAGGGCUUGCCCAAAUGACGCCAGUAAGGAGCAAGAUGUCCACUGGAAAGACACUGUCGUCAAAACCAUGCUGGUAGAGGCUGAAGGUAUUGAAAAAGAAGCAACUCAAAGUUUCCUCAUCUGUCCAAAAGGUACCAAAGCCUCAAAACAAACACUUCUGGAAUUGCCAAGCAAUGUAGUAGAAGGUUCAGUCAGAUCUUUUGUCACCAUUGUGGGGGACAUUCUGGGAGUCGCAAUGCAGAAUCUGGAGAGCCUUCUCCAAAUGCCCUAUGGGUGUGGUGAACAGAACAUUGCCCAGCUAGCAUCUGACGUUUACAUACUGGACUACCUGAAAGCUACCGACCAGCUGACAGAAGAACUCAAAUCUAAGGCUCAGCGUCUCUUAUCCAAUGGUUACCAAAAUCACUUGUCUUUCAAAAACUAUGAUGGGUCCUACGAUGUGUUCUGCCAGAGCAACCAGGAAGGGAGCACAUGGCUCAGUGCCCUUUCUUUCAAGACAGUUGAGAAAAUGAAGGAAUAUAUUUUCAUCGAAGAGACAGUCCCCAAACAGACGUUAAUCUGGCUUGUAAAGAAACAGAAAUCAAAUGGAUGCUUUAGAAGGGACGAGAAGCAUGUCGACACGGCUCAGGAGGGCCGUGAGGGUGACCAGGAAGAUAUUGCGCUCACUGCGUACGUCGUCGGGGUGUUCCUUGAAGUUGGACUCAAUGCCAGCUUUCCUGCCCUCCGCAAUGGUCUCUAUUGCCUGGAAGAGGCAUUUUCGAAUGGUGUCACCAAUGGCUACACGCAAGCUAUUCUGGCUUAUGUAUUUGCAUUAGCUGGGAAAGAACAGCAAGCGAAAUCCUUACUCUCAAUCCUGGACAAAUCUGCUACAAAAACAAAUAAUAUGAUAUACUGGGAGAGAGAUGAGAAACCCGAGACAGACAACUCUCCAUCAUUCAUUCCUUCGGCACUUUCUGGUGAGACAGAGAAGACGUGCUAUGUGCUGCUGGCUGUCCUUUCCCAGGACACUCAGGACCUUGAUUAUGCCAGCAAGAUUGUGCAGUGGCUUGCCCAGCGGAUGAACUCCCAUGGAGGCUUCUCUGCCAUGCAGGACACCACAGUGUGCCUUCUCGCUCUAACCCAAUACAUGAAGUUAACCGGCUCUAACCCUCAAAACACCAUCACGCUGAGCUCAGAGGAGUCUGAGGAGGUUUUCUAUGUUAACAGAAAUAAACGCCUUCUGGUCCAGCACUCAAAAGUAUCCAAAGGCCACCAACAAUACACAGUGGAUGUAGAAGGAGAUGGAUGCUCAUUUAUCCAGGCCACCCUCAGGUACAACGUGCCACUUCCUAAGGAGGCCUCAGGAUUUUCCCUUUCCGUGAAAACUGGAAAAAGCAACUCUUCAGAUGAAUUCCAGACCAAGUUUGAACUCACGGUGACCCUCACGUAUGUGUAACGUUUUUGACAUUCGCUCCCAGGUUAGUGAACUCUAUCAAAGAGUUGUUUCAAAUAGGACUGAAGUAAACCAAAUCUGAAUGACAGUGACCACGGUGAGUCCCACGGGCAAUCUGCUGCAUAGCCACGUCACUGCCCUUUUUAGAUACUGGCUUAUUAGAAAGACCUUCUGCAAUAUCUACGCACAUAUGUACACCUGAAAGCUGUUAUCUUGCUGGCCGAUUAAGAGGGUGGAAGCAAUCUUCCAGUGUUGAGCAGAUCUAAAGCUGACAGGAACGCACACCAUGUAAACAAGGCAGUUCUGUCUGUAGACUUUGUGAGAUUUGGGGAGGCUUUGCGUUCACAGAGGUCAUGAUCGGAACCAGCUGAUGUCACCUCACCCACCCGGCAUCUCGACCACUGUCACUGGGCUGCGACUGCGCUCAAACAGUUGAGGCUGAGGUUUCUCAGCUCCUCCCUUUCUAGUUUAUGGCAGCGCUCCAGACUGCAAGCUUGUUAGUGCGCAUGCCCACCUGCCACCCUCCCCGAGAGAGCUCACGUUUCUAAGCCCAGGUAGAGAGAUGUUUGCUUUCUCACUUCAGCUACACUGGAGCUCGUGAAAGCUCAGUUACAGUCCUUGUGGAUGUGAAGAUGCUCUCUGGCUUUACUCCUGUCGUCUCAUCCACCGAGGAGCUUAAAUUCAAUAGUCAAGUAACGAAGACGGACAUAAAGAAUGGCCACGUUCUGUUCUACUUGGAAAAUGUUCCCAAGGAAGCAACCAGCCUCACCUUCUCCAUUGAACAAACUAACCAUGUGGCCAAUAUCCAGCCAGCCCCAGUCACGGUCUACAGCUAUGAAAAAGGUGAAUAUGCUUUUGAUUCUUACAACAUCAAUAGCAUUUCGGAUUCCCAAUAAAACAAAGAAGCGCACAGAAAAAAA